AGAGUUUGAUCCUGGCUCAGAACGAACGUUGGCGGCGUGGAUUAGGCAUGCAAGUCGAACGAAUCCCUUGGGGGCAACUCUGAGGGGGAAGUGGCGAAAGGGGCAGUAAGGCGUGGGUAACUUGCCCCGGGGCCUGGAAUAGCCAUCCUAACGGAUGGGUAAUACCGGAUGUCCUGACGGGUCGGCAUCGAUCGGUCAGGAAAGAUUUAUCACCCCGGGAGAGGCUCACGUAGUAUUAGCUAGUUGGUGAGGUAACGGCUCACCAAGGCCAAGAUGCUUAGCAGGUGUGAGAGCACGACCUGCGCCACUGGCACUGAGACACUGGCCAGACUCCUACGGGAGGCUGCAGUCGAGGAUCUUCGGCAAUGGGCGCAAGCCUGACCGAGCGACGCCGCGUGUGCGAUGAAGGCCUUCGGGUUG
rnacentral:rRNA from 1 species